rnacentral:rRNA from 1 species
CGCCCCGCAAGGGGAGCGGCAGACGGGAGAGUAACACGUGGGAACGUGCCCUUUGGUUCGGAAUAACCCAGGGAAACUUGGACUAAUACCGAAUAAGCCCUAACGGGGAAAGAUUUAUCGCCGAAGGAGCGGCCCGCGUCGGAUUAGCUUGUUGGUGAGGUAAUGGCUCACCAAGGCGACGAUCCGUAGCUGGUCUAAGAGGAUGAUCAGCCUCACUGGGACUGAGACACGGCCCAGACUCCUACGGGAGGCAGCAGUGGGGAAUAUUGGACAAUGGGGGCAACCCUGAUCCAGCCAUGCCGCGUGAGUGAUGAAGGCCCUAGGGUUGUAAAGCUCUUUCAGUGGGGAAGAUAAUGACGGUACCCACAGAAGAAGCCCCGGCUAACUUCGUGCCAGCAGCCGCGGUAAUACGAAGGGGGCUAGCGUUGCUCGGAAUUACUGGGCGUAAAGCGCACGUAGGCGGACUUUUAAGUCGGGGGUGAAAUCCCGGAGCUCAACUCCGGAACUGCCUUCGAAACUGGAAGUCUUGAGUUCGGGAGAGGUGAGUGGAACUGCGAGUGUAGAGGUGAAAUUCGUAGAUAUUCGCAAGAACACCAGUG